rnacentral:misc_RNA from 1 species
ACUACAUCAUCCUCGGUGUAGACAAGCUGGGUCGUAACUCGUACGAGGAGCUCACACGUGAGUUGCUUGGCAAGAAGGCGGAGGAAGUGGUACGAUGGAUGCUAAUCAUUUAUAACACGGGAUCUGCUAUUGGCUACCUCGUCGUCUUCGAAGACCUUGUAGCACCGAUGCAGCCUCUCGUCACCAGCUACCUGCCCGCGCUCACCACGCCGAAGCACUCGCUGCUUUCCUUCUGGGCCGUCUUCAUCCUGCCGCUCUCCUGCGUUCCCACGCUGGGGGCCCUGCACAUCUCCUCCUUCCUCGCCAUCUCGGCGACGAGUUUCAUCUGCAUCAUGAUUAUUUUCCGCUACUUCGUGCCGGGCCCCACGGAGCUAUCCGCCAUGACGACAGACGCCAUCGCCAACGGCACAGCAUCUGCCAACUGGUGGUUGGGUAAGUACCCCUUGCUGGCUCUGCCGAUCAUCAUGUUCUCGUUCGACUGCCAGUCCCUCGUAUUUCAGAUAUACGCUGGCCUGGACGACAUGCGGCGAAGCGUCAUGAUUAAGGUGGCCAUCAUCAGCCUCAUCGUCACUGGCGUCAUCCACGCUGCCGUCGGUCUCUUUGGCUACCUCUCGAACCCGGUGGACGUGCGCGAGAACAUCAUCAGCAACUACGACCCCAACGUCGACCGCCUCUUUCAGAUUGGCUACCUCCUGUACACCGCACCGAUGAUUUUAGCAUUCGUUUUGAUGAUGUUCCCUAUUCGCGACUCGAUCUUCAUUUUGUGGUAUGGCUACAGCUCUGCGUCGAUGGCGACACACGUACCGCGUAGCAAGGACUUCACGCGACUUGUACACCAAGAAGAAGCGCUGGAGCUGAUGGUGAAUGCGGAAAGUGAGCAUCAGCGCAGCCACUGCAACGGCUUCGGUAGCAAACACAACAACUACGGCAGCGUCAAGGAGGAACUGCAGCAAGUUAUCGAAGCGAAGAAGCACCACAACGAUAUUGAGCGGAUUCCGCUGCGAGAUCAUCUCAUCAUUAGCAUCACACUGAGCACUCUGUGCGUGGCGGUGGCCCUCCUGGUUCCCGGGAUCGUGUCGGUGGUCUCGUUACUUGGAGGUCUGUGUUGCUCCACGCUGUGCUUUAUCGUGCCUGGUCUGUACCGCUGGCAGCUGCACUACAAGAAUAUUGCUCGCUGCCAGGCGUUUUGGGAGAUGGCGCUCAUGGUGUUCAUGGUAGUCUUUGGCGGCGUUGCCGCCAUCUUAGGCACAGCUGUGUGGGUCGAGGGCGUCCUACUCAGCAUGUAAUGAUCACGGUGUGGCGAACACAGGGCGUUUGCCCACCGUGAAGGUUUUUUUUUGCGCACAAACGCAAGUAUAUAUAUAUAUAUAUAUGUAUAUGCGCAUGUGUGUGUGUGUGCACUCCGUUGAGCUGCUGUUGCGGUCUAAUUGGAUUACACUCCCUUUAUCGUCCCCCCACCUUCCCCUUUUUAUUUUAGUCUUCUUUUUCCUUCUGUGUUGUGAGUGUGUGUGUGUGUGUGUUCAUGUUUUUGUGACCCACUCUCCCCAUGUUGUUCUCCUUUGAUUUGCUGCUGUUGUUAAGUAAUCUUUAAGAAUAACAGACGUGUUUGUUUACGGGUUCGACAUCCGCUAGCCGCCCCCCACCGCUUCCUUCCACGCAUACGCACAUACGCGCCAGCCAAUAUCGGUCCCUCCCCCUCCCGCCGUCUUUGAUGAUAUCGUUGCCGUCUCUCUUUCUCUCUUUAUCGCCCUCCCUCCUGCGCAUCCGUACAGACACAUUCCAGUAUGAUAUAUUCCCUUUCUUCCUUUCCUCACUGCGCGUGUUCUUUCCACUCGCCCCGUGGCCUAAUUCUUGUCUUUCUAACGCUCCAUUUUUUUCUUUACUUCUUCUUGCCCCUCCCCCGCGCCUACGCACAUGUACACACGCAUCGGCGCAAACAGUUCCUUCGUUCAACGGCGCGUUGCACGCGUGUCUUUGCCCGGUGCAGGAACAGAGGGUGUUUUUCUCUCGCUUCUCCGUGUCUCAUUCCGUUCGCCCACCUCCCCAUGUGUUGGGGUGGCUGCGCUCGAUGGCCCCAUGAGUGUGUCGUUGUCUUCUUCCCCUACUUGUGCAUGGGCGCCUCUGCUCGUUUCUCUCCUCACUCUCUCACCCCUCCCCCGAUAAAGUGUCCAGGUGGCUGCGCCUGCCUGUGCGUGUGUAUUCCAUGCCAGGCGGAGAGGCGAGCACCGAGAGGAGCGGCACAAGCUGAGACAAGGGCAAACAAAAUGGAAUCAUCAGCGCAGCAUAAGAUGUGUGGCAUCGAUGGAUGCCGCCGCCUCUGUAUCACCUCCCUCCCCUUUCUGACGAAGAAACAAGAGUCUGGCACUCUUCCGCGCUUGUCUGUGCGACAGUGAGUGAAGGCGAGAGAGAGAGUAAAGCGAAAAAAAUAUAUAGCGCUGUUGUUGCUUCUUGCUUUAAGCUGCGAUGCAGAUGGCACGAGCCUCGUCGGUGCACGCACAUAUACAGAGAGAGAAAGGGAGAGAGAGAGAUGUAUGGGAGGGAGAGAAAGUGGGGAGAGGGGGUGGGCAUGCAUCCCACCAGCACAUUCACGCACGCGCGUGUGUGCCUGUGCACGUGUGGCAGGUGCAACCAUGAGUCGCUUCCGGUUACGAGACCGAGUUAGGGCGCACCGCUCUGUCACGGCUAUCUCUCGGUUAUCCUUUCAGUACCAUGUGUUCGCUUAACGCCCCCUUCUUCGCGCGCCCGCACUCACGUAAGUGCGGCUCUGUGGGUAGAUCGCUAAGGGCAGUCGAUCGCGUCGGAGAGCCUGCUUGUUAUUCGUGAGGUCUUCUUUUUCAUCUCCCCUUCGUUAUCUUCUGCCACUGCGGAGCCGCGUGUGGGGGGUAUGGUCGUUGGUGAGGGUGUGCGUGUGUACGUGUGCAUGCCUUCCUUCUCUGUUUUUUUUUGUGUCCUUCGCGGUGAGGUCUACUACAAGAGCAGCGCCCUCUACGUAGGUGUGUGUGUGUGUGGCAUGCGGUCAUCCUCGCUGUCUCUUCUCCGCUUGCUUCUUUUUUCCCUUCGUUUUUCAG